UACGAAGGGUGCAAACGUUGCUCGGAAUUAUUGGGCGUAAAGCGCACGUAGGCGGCUUUUCAAGUCCCAUGUGAAAGCCCACGGCGUUAACCGUGGAAGUGCAUGGGAAACUGGAAAGCUUGAGUACUUAAGAGGAUCGCGGAAUUCCCGGUGUAGAGGUGAAAUUCGUAGAUAUCGGGAGGAACACCAGUGGCGAAGGCGGCGAUCUGGGAAGAUACUGACGCUGAGGUGCGAAAGCGGUGGGGA
rnacentral:rRNA from 1 species